rnacentral:rRNA from 1 species
CCUAGGGAGGUAGCAGUGAGGAAGAGUGGGCAAGGGACGAGAGGCGGAACCAGUCAAGGAGGGGGAAGGAGGACCGGCCUAUGGGUUGUAAACUUCUUUUAUAUGGGAAUAAAAUGUUCCACGUGUGGGAUUUUGUAUGUACCAUAUGAAUAAGGAUCGGCUAACUCCGGGCCAGCAGCCGCGGUAAUACGGAGGAUCCGAGCGUUAUCCGGAUUUAUUGGGUUUAAAGGGAGCGUAGGUGGAUUGUUAAGUCAGUUGUGAAAGUUUGCGGCUCAACCGUAAAAUUGCAGUUGAAACUGGCAGUCUUGAGUACAGUAGAGGUGGGCGGAAUGCGUGGUGUAGCGGUGAAAUGCUUAGAUAUCACGAAGAACUCCGAUUGCGAAGGCAGUUCACUGGACUGCAACUGACACUGAGGCUCGAAAGUGUGGGUAUCAAACAGGAUUAGAUACCCCGGUAGUC